GAAAUGCGAUACGUAAUGCGAAUUGCAGAACUCAGUGAAUCAUCAAAUCUUUGAACGCAAAUUGCGCUUUCGGGAUAGGCCUGAAAGCACGCCUCUUUGAGUAUCGAUUCAACCACCGCUCGACGGCGUUCUUUUUAACGGGAACGUGCAGUUGGCUGAGAUUGAGUUUCGCAGUUGUAACAAGCUGCGUAACUUGAAGCAUCGACAGUCGUUUUCACACCGAAGUCUUGAUUCGGACUAAAACCUGUCGACCGAGAGCAAUGCGGUUAGUUUUACCUUUAAUGGUGAAUCUUCAGCAUUUGUUCGAAGUUGAACAGUGUUCGAAAGCUCGACGAAUUGUGCGUUGAAAACAAGUCUUUAUUCAGCCUUC
rnacentral:misc_RNA from 1 species